rnacentral:tRNA from 1 species
AGUUAAAUAAAACAGCCUGCUUUGGGAGCAGGGGGCCGCAGGUUCGAAUCCUGCC